UACGUAGGGUGCGAGCGUUGUCCGGAAUUAUUGGGCGUAAAGAGCUUGUAGGUGGUUUGUCGCGUCUGCUGUGAAAAUCCGAGGCUCAACCUCGGACUUGCAGUGGGUACGGGCAGACUAGAGUGUGGUAGGGGAGACUGGAAUUCCUGGGUGUAGCGGUGGAAUGCGCAGAUAUCAGGAGGAACACCGAUGGCGAAGGCAGGUCUCUGGGCCAUUACUGACACUGAGAAGCGAAAGCAUGGGGAGCGAACAGG
rnacentral:rRNA from 1 species